AGAGUUUGAUCAUGGCUCAGGAUGAACGCUAGCUACAGGCUUAACACAUGCAAGUCGAGGGGCAGCAUCAUCAAAGCUUGCUUUGAUGGAUGGCGACCGGCGCACGGGUGAGUAACACGUAUCCAACCUGCCGACAACACUGGGAUAGCCUUUCGAAAGAAAGAUUAAUACCGGAUGGCAUAAUUAUUCCGCAUGGGAUAAUUAUUAAAGAAUUUCGGUUGUCGAUGGGGAUGCGUUCCAUUAGGCAGUUGGCGGGGUAACGGCCCACCAAACCUACGAUGGAUAGGGGUUCUGAGAGGAAGGUCCCCCACAUUGGAACUGAGACACGGUCCAAACUCCUACGGGAGGCAGCAGUGAGGAAUAUUGGUCAAUGGACGAGAGUCUGAACCAGCCAAGUAGCGUGAAGGAUGACUGCCCUAUGGGUUGUAAACUUCUUUUAUACGGGAAUAAAGUGAGCCACGUGUGGCUUUUUGUAUGUACCGUAUGAAUAAGGAUCGGCUAACUCCGUGCCAGCAGCCGCGGUAAUACGGAGGAUCCGAGCGUUAUCCGGAUUUAUUGGGUUUAAAGGGAGCGUAG
rnacentral:rRNA from 1 species